UGGGGGAUAUUGCACAAUGGGCGAAAGCCUGAUGCAGCGACGCCGCGUGGGGGAUGAAGGCCUUCGGGUUGUAAACUUCUUUUGCUCUGAACAAGGCAUGCCUUUGGGGUGUGUUGAGUGUAGGGGUUGAUUAGCGCCGGCUAACUACGUGCCAGCAGCCGCGGUAAUACGUAGGGCGCGAGCGUUGUCCGGAAUUAUUGGGCGUAAAGGGCUUGUAGGUGGCUGGUUGCGUCUGUCGUGAAAGCUCAUGGCUUAACUGUGGGUUUGCGGUGGGUACGGGCUGGCUUGAGUGCAGUAGGGGAGGCUGGGAUUCCUGGUGUAGCGGUGGAAUGCGCAGAUAUCAGGAGGAAUACCGGUGGCGAAGGCGGGUCUCUGGGCUGUUACUGACGCUGAGGGGCGAAAGCGUGGGGAGCGAACAGG
rnacentral:rRNA from 1 species